rnacentral:RNase_P_RNA from 1 species
UUGAUGCGUCAGGUAAUCAGGCUUCAGAUUUUUUCUGAUGUCAGGAAAGUCCGAACACCAUCAUGCGGCGUGUGUAUCACACUGCAUGAAAGCGAUAGCGGUUAACGGCCGCCUCCCUGGCAACAGGGACGGGACAGUAUCACAGAGACUAUACCGCCGAUCGUCGUUACAAGUACCCUAAAGGUUCUUAAUGCGGAGGAGGCAAAGGUGAAAAGAGUGGGGUAAGAGCCCACAGUCGCCAUAGGCAACUAUGGCGGGAGAAAAACUCCUAUCCGGUGCAACCUCACCGUCACUGCGCUCGGCGCAAUGACUACACGAGGGCAAAGAGUUCGUGAGCGAUCACGAACCAAGAGAGAUGAUUACCUCUCUAUCCGUUCGCGGAUAGGGAACAGAAUUCGGCUUAUCGAUGCAUCAGAGAC